rnacentral:tRNA from 2 species
GCCCGGAUAGCUCAGUCGGUAGAGCAGGGGACUGAAAAUCCCCGUGUCGGUGGUUCACUUCCGCCUCCGGGCA